rnacentral:rRNA from 1 species
GAUGAACGCUGGCGGCGUGCCUAAUACAUGCAAGUCGAGCGAACAGACGAGGAGCUUGCUUCUCUGACGUUAGCGGCGGACGGGUGAGUAACACGUGGAUAACCUACCUAUAAGACUGGGAUAACUUCGGGAAACCGGAGCUAAUACCGGAUAAUAUAUUGAACCGCAUGGUUCAAUAGUGAAAGACGGUUUUGCUGUCACUUAUAGAUGGAUCCGCGCCGCAUUAGCUAGUUGGUAAGGUAACGGCUUACCAAGGCGACGAUGCGUAGCCGACCUGAGAGGGUGAUUGGCCAAACUGGAACUGAGGAACGGUCCAGACUCCUACGGGAGGCAGCAGGAGGGAAUCUUCCGCAAUGGGCGGAAGCCUGACGGAGCAACGCCGCGUGAGGGAUGAAGGUCUUCGGAUCGGAAAACUCUGUUAUUAGGGAAGAACAAAUGUGUAAGUAACUAUGCACGUCUUGACGGUACCUAAUCAGAAAGCCACGGCUAACUACGUG